GACGAACGCUGGCGGCAUGCCUAAUACAUGCAAGUCGAACGCAGUGGGGACGGGUGAGUAACACGUGGGUAACCUCCCAUCAGAGGGGAUAACCCUUGGACACAGGUGCUAAACCGAUACUGAUGGAUGGACCCGCGGUGCAUUAGCUAGUUGGUGAGGUAAAGGCUCACAAGGGCCACGAUGCAUAGCGGACCUGAGAGGGUGAUCGGCCACACUGGGACUGAGACACGGCCCAGACUCCUACGGGAGGAAGCAGUGGGGAAUCUUGGGCAAUGGACGAAAGUCUGACCGAGAAACGCCGCGGGAGUGAAGAAGGUAUUCGGAUCGUAAAACUCUGUUGUUAGAGAAGCGGUAUCUAACCAGAAAGCCACGGCUAACUACGUGCCAGCAGCCGCGGUAAUAC
rnacentral:rRNA from 1 species